UACAGAGGUCUCAAGCGUUGUUCGGAUUCAUUGGGCGUAAAGGGCGCGUAGGCUGCGGGGUAAGUCGGGUGUGAAAUCUCAGAGCUCAACUCUGAAACUGCACUCGAUACUGCUUUGCUUGAGGACUGGAGAGGAGACUGGAAUUCACGGUGUAGCAGUGAAAUGCGUAGAUAUCGUGAGGAAGACCAGUGGCGAAGGCGGGUCUCUGGACAGUUCCUGACGCUGAGGCGCGAAGGCCAGGGGAGCAAACGGG
rnacentral:rRNA from 1 species